ACCAUGUAUGUUAUUUGGGUGAGGCAUAUC
rnacentral:piRNA from 1 species